UACGUAGGAGGCGAGCGUUGUCCGGAGUUACUGGGCGUAAAGGGUGCGCAGGUGGCCGUGCGCGUGGGGAGUGAAAUCGCCUGGCUUAACUGGGCGGGGGCUUUCCAGACGGCGCGGCUUGAGCCACAGAGGGGGGCGUGGAAUUCCGGGUGGAGCGGUGAAAUGCGUAGAUAUCGAGAGGAACACCUGCGGCGAAGGCGGGUUGCUGGGCUGACACUGACGCUGAUGCGCGAAAGCUAGGGGAGCGAACGGG
rnacentral:rRNA from 1 species